rnacentral:piRNA from 1 species
AAUGAAUUUAUAUGGACAGAUGUAUAC